GGUGACAUGGAUAGGGAUUUUAUAGUAGGACUCGGUGGAAAGCAUGGAGGAUAAAAAAUAGCUUAGGGUGAAGGGAUUUUUGAGUGUAAAUCUAUUGUCUGAUACACACUCCGGAGCAGAAGGUGGCGGUAAUUCACCAAAAAGCUGUGUACCACCCGCUGUAAAACAAGAAGAAGACGGUAUAUCCAAUCACGUGCGCUUGGAAGAAGGUCGUUGUGAUUUCAAAUUCUCCGUGGGAAAAUCUGGGUUUAACGGCGUUCAAGAGCAGAUGGAGGUGACAUGCUUCCGGACCCAUGCGUGGACCCGUGGUGGAGAUUCCCCAGUCUGCUGCAGCCAGACCCUUCUCAAAUUAUGAGCCAGCAGCCACACCACCACGCCUACUGGCUGAAGCUAAGCAAGUGUGGGCUUGGUUACGUGGAUGGGAGACCACCAGGGAAUACUGAGUUGCUGCUGGAAGUGGUGUUGGUGGGCCAGCAGGGGGCAAUCUUCCCUCUGGUCAAAUAAACCCCAAUGCCCCAGUGCAGUGACGGAGACGCUGUGCUGCAGGAGAUGCCGUCUUUCAGAUGAAACAUUAAACCAAGGUCUUGACUCACUGUGGUCAUUAAAGAUCCCAUGACACUUAUCGCAAAGAGUAGGGGGUUCCCCGGUGUCCUGGCUAAAAUCCCAGAUCUGGCUCUCACAAAAACUUGCCACCUAAUCAUCCCCUGAUUUAAUUGGCUAAAAAAAUGUUAUCUCCCUCCAGUGGAGCUGCUCAGUGGCCAACAAUAGAGGAUUGUGGUUGUACUGGGCAGCUCCCAGGUGUGAGUGUGCAUGAGUGUGAAGCAGGGCGUGGCUGCAAAAGAGCAUCCAUGCUCAGCGAAUCUACCCUGGGUAAAUAAAGUUUAAAUAAAAAAUAAAAA